GUUAAGCUACUUUAAAUUUAACGGUAUUUACUGACUUUGUACAUAUACUAAAUAGGUCUUCAAAGACUGCUGAAAAUAAAUCAACGAAUUGUUCAUAUGUGUUUGUUGACAGGGUCCAUAUAUAAUCUCAAGAUAUGACCUUACCGUGUGCUCUGGUCCUAGACAGAAAAAUUUAACAGAAAUCGAAAGUCACGUAUUGAAACAAGAUAAUUCUUUUGUGGGUGUUGUUAAACACAUAUUUUUAGAACGAAGUCGAAUUGAAGAGAUGAAGGUAGACGUAUUUGCUAUAAAUGAUAAUCGCAAAAAAUUGUUAUGGAGGCAUAAAGUGAAAGACGUAUGUAGCCAUUUUGCUGCGGCAAGCUUGAUUAAGGUUAAUUUUAAAUCUAAAAAAGAUUGCGUCGUGGAAAAGGGCGAAUAUAUCAGCAAAAUGAAUUUUACACAGCUGACGGAAAGCUUUUUGGGAGAUUCAUUCUUUUAUGGCACAUUCAGAUAUCAUGCUGUAUCAUUUUCAAAGAAGGGAAAUAUAUUUUGUUUUCAGAUAAACACCAUAUUUACUAAGAAAACAUGAGCCAAGACAAACAUCAUUAUUAUGUGUGAGCAUUAUUUGUAUUGUAUAUUCCGUAAAUAAAGUAUUACGUGUGACAUAUGUUUAAUUUGACGUGAUCAAGUAAUAAAGUUUUCAGUAAUUUA